rnacentral:rRNA from 1 species
AGAGUUUGUUCCUGGCUCAGGAUGAACGCUGGCGGCGUGCUUAACACAUGCAAGUCGAACGAAGCACCUUGAUUUGAUUCUUCGGAUGAAGAUCCUGGUGACUGAGUGGCGGACGGGUGAGUAACGCGUGGGUAACCUGCCUCAUACAGGGGGAUAACAGUUAGAAAUGACUGCUAAUACCGCAUAAGACCACAGCACCGCAUGGUGCAGGGGUAAAAACUCCGGUGGUAUGAGAUGGACCCGCGUCUGAUUAGGUAGUUGGUGGGGUAACGGCCUACCAAGCCAACGAUCAGUAGCCGACCUGAGAGGGUGACCGGCCACAUUGGGACUGAGACACGGCCCAAACUCCUACGGGAGGCAGCAGUGGGGAAUAUUGCACAAUGGGGGAAACCCUGAUGCAGCGACGCCGCGUGAGCGAUGAAGUAUUUCGGUAUGUAAAGCUCUAUCAGCAGGGAAGAAAAUGACGGUACCUGACUAAGAAGCACCGGCUAAAUACGUGCCAGCAGCCGCGGUAAUACGGAGGAUCCGAGCGUUAUCCGGAUUUAUUGGGUUUAAAGGGAGCGUAGAUGGAUGUUUAAGUCAGUUGUGAAAGUUUGCGGCUCAACCGUAAAAUUGCAGUUGAUACUGGAUGUCUUGAGUGCAGUUGAGGCAGGCGGAAUUCGUGGUGUAGCGGUGAAAUGCUUAGAUAUCACGAAGAACUCCGAUUGCGAAGGCAGCCUGCUAAGCUGCAACUGACAUUGAGGCUCGAAAGUGUGGGUAUCAAACAGGAUUAGAUACCCUGGUAGUCCACACCGUAAACGAUGAUUACUAGGUGUUGGAGGAUUGACCCCUUCAGUGCCGCAGUUAACACAAUAAGUAAUCCACCUGGGGAGUACGACCGCAAGGUUGAAACUCAAAGGAAUUGACGGGGGCCCGCACAAGCAGUGGAGUAUGUGGUUUAAUUCGAAGCAACGCGAAGAACCUUACCAGGUCUUGACAUCCGAUGCAUAGUGCAGAGAUGCAUGAAGUCCUUCGGGACAUCGAGACAGGUGGUGCAUGGUUGUCGUCAGCUCGUGUCGUGAGAUGUUGGGUUAAGUCCCGCAACGAGCGCAACCCUUAUUGCCAGUUACUACGCAAGAGGACUCUGGCGAGACUGCCGUUGACAAAACGGAGGAAGGUGGGGAUGACGUCAAAUCAUCAUGCCCUUUAUGACCUGGGCUACACACGUACUACAAUGGCGUUUAACAAAGAGAAGCAAGACCGCGAGGUGGAGCAAAACUCAAAAACAACGUCUCAGUUCAGAUUGCAGGCUGCAACUCGCCUGCAUGAAGUCGGAAUUGCUAGUAAUCGCGGAUCAGCAUGCCGCGGUGAAUACGUACCCGGGCCUUGCACUCACCGCCCGUCA